AACGAACGCUGGCGGCGUGCCUAACACAUGCAAGUCGAACGCGAAAGGCAGCAAUGCCGAGUAGAGUGGCGCACGGGUGAGUAACACGUAAAUGACCUGCCUUCGACAUAGGGAUAACCGCUCGAAAGGGCGGCUAAUACCUAAUAAGCCCACGUCUUUGGAGAUGCGGGAAAAGGGUUGGGACCUUACGGGGCCAAUCGGUUGAAGAGGGGUUUGCGGCCCAUCAGGUAGUUGGCGGGGUAACGGCCCACCAAGCCUAAGACGGGUAGCUGGUCUGAGAGGAUGAUCAGCCACACUGGAACUGAGACACGGUCCAGACUCCUACGGGAGGCAGCAGUGGGAAUCUUGCGCAAUGGACGAAAGUCUGACGCAGCAACGCCGCGUGAGUGAUGAAGGUCUUCGGAUCGUAAAGCUCUGUCGGAGGGGAAGAGGCCUGGGUGUUUAAGUAAACAUUCCAGUGACGGUACCCUUAAAGGAAGCACCGGCUAACUCUGUGCCAGCAGCCG
rnacentral:rRNA from 1 species